UACGUAGGGGGCGAGCGUUAUCCGGAUUCACUGGGUGUAAAGGGAGCGUAGACGGCCAUGCAAGCCAGGGGUGAAAGCCCGGGGCCCAACCCCGGGACUGCCCUUGGAACUGCAUGGCUGGAGUGCGGGAGGGGCAGGCGGAAUUCCUGGUGUAGCGGUGAAAUGCGUAGAUAUCAGGAGGAACACUGGCGGCGAAGGCGGCCUGCUGGACCGCGACUGACGUUGAGGCUCGAAAGCGUGGGGAGCGAACAGG
rnacentral:rRNA from 1 species